CCUACGGGUGGCUGCAGUCGAGAAUCAUUCACAAUGGGGGAAACCCUGAUGGUGCGACGCCGCGUGGGGGAAUGAAGGUCUUCGGAUUGUAAACCCCUGUCAUGUGGGAGCAAAUUAAAAAGAUCGUACCACAAGAGGAAGAGACGGCUAACUCUGUGCCAGCAGCCGCGGUAAUACAGAGGUCUCAAGCGUUGUUCGGAAUCACUGGGCGUAAAGCGUGCGUAGGCUGUUUCGUAAGUCGUGUGUGAAAGGCGCGGGCUCAACCCGCGGACGGCACAUGAUACUGCGAGACUAGAGUAAGGGAGGGGGAACCGGAAUUCUCGGUGUAGCAGUGAAAUGCGUAGAUAUCGAGAGGAACACUCGUGGCGAAGGCGGGUUCCUGGACAUUAACUGACGCUGAGGCACGAAGGCCAGGGGAGCGAAAGGGAUUAGAUACCCGAGUAGUC
rnacentral:rRNA from 1 species